AGCGAACGCUGGCGGCAGGCCUAACACAUGCAAGUCGAACGAACUCUUCGGAGUUAGUGGCGGACGGGUGAGUAACACGUGGGAACGUGCCUUUAGGUUCGGAAUAACUCAGGGAAACUUGUGCUAAUACCGAAUGUGCCCUUCGGGGGAAAGAUUUAUCGCCUUUAGAGCGGCCCGCGUCGGAUUAGCUAGUUGGUGAGGUAAAGGCUCACCAAGGCGACGAUCAGUAGCUGGGCUGAGAGGAUGAUCAGCCACAUUGGGACUGAGACACGGCCCAAACUCCUACGGGAGGCAGCAGUGGGGAAUCUUGCGCAAUGGGCGAAAGCCUGACGCAGCCAUGCCGCGUGAAUGAUGAAGGUCUUAGGAUUGUAAAAUUCUUUCACCGGGGACGAUAAUGACGGUACCCGGAGAAGAAGCCCCGGCUAACUUCGUG
rnacentral:rRNA from 1 species